rnacentral:rRNA from 1 species
CAGCCGCCACGGGAAUACAGAGGGUGCGAGCGUUAAUCGGAUUUACUGGGCGUAAAGCGUGCGUAGGCGGCUUUUUAAGUCGGAUGUGAAAUCCCUGAGCUUAACUUAGGAAUUGCAUUCGAUACUAGGAAGCUAGAGUAUGGGAGAGGAUGGUAGAAUUCCAGGUGUAGCGGUGAAAUGCGUAGAGAUCUGGAGGAAUACCGAUGGCGAAGGCAGCCAUCUGGCCUAAUACUGACGCUGAGGUACGAAAGCAUGGGGAGCAAACAGGAUUAGAUACCCGCGUAGUCCCUGUCUCUUAUAA